UAAAAGGGACAGCAUACCAGA
rnacentral:piRNA from 2 species